CGACGCCGCGUGGGUGAAGAAUGCAGAGAUGUUGUAAAGCCCUUUUCUCAUAGAAGAAUAAGUUUCCGAGGAAAUGCGGGAACGAUGACGUUAUAUGAGGAAUAAGCUCCGGCCAAUUACGUGCCAGCAGCCGCGGUAACACGUAAGGAGCGAGCGUUGUUCGGAAUUAUUGGGCGUAAAGGGCUCGUAGGCGGCCGUCCAAGUCCCCCGUGAAAGACCAGGGCUCAACCCUGGGAAUGCGAGGGAAACUGUUCGGCUUGAAUCUUGGAGGGGGUACUGGAAUUCCUGGUGUAGGGGUGAAAUCUGUUGAUAUCAGGAAGAACACCGGAGGCGAAGGCGAGUACCUGGCCAAAGAUUGACGCUGAUGAGCGAAAGCGUAGGUAGCAAACAGGAUUAGAUACCCUGGUAGUCUACGCCGUAAACGAUGUACACUUGAUGGCGGUCCCGUACGGGGUCGCUGUCGAAGCUAACGC
rnacentral:rRNA from 1 species